rnacentral:lncRNA from 1 species
AUUUUAAUCAACUUGUUUCAGUAUCUUGAUGUUUUUCUGUCUCCCUCUCUCUUGUUUAUCUAGAUGGCUCUGGAAGAUUCUGAGCAGAAGCACAAUCUUUUACAUUCAGUUUUCACGGAUCUAGAAGAUUUGUCAAUCAUUUUUGAAACGGACAAUUUAAUACAGUCCAUACAAGAAUUAAGUAGUCAAGUGGCAGCUUUACAGCAACAAAUAAUGGAAAGCCUUCCACAUAUCCAGCGAGUAGCUGAUGAUGUGGUUGCUAUUGAAUCUGAAGUAAAAUCAAUGGAGAAAAAAGUUUCAAAAAUUAAAACUAUCCUGCUAUCAAAAGAAAUAUUUGACUUUUCACCUGAAGAACAUCUUAAACAUGGGGAGGUAAGCAUGGACCAUUACUAGAAGUAUUUUCUCAUAGUACUACUAUGUCUGUUGAAAAAUAUGUAAUAA